rnacentral:rRNA from 1 species
AUUGAACGCUGGCGGCAGGCCUAACACAUGCAAGUCGAGCGAGCGGCGGACGGGUUAGUAAUGUCUGGGAAACUGCCCGAUGGAGGGGGAUAACUACUGGAAACGGUAGCUCAUACCGCAUACCAUCGGAUGUGCCCAGAUGGGAUUAGCUAGUAGGUGGGGUAAAGGCUAACCUAGGCGACGAUCCCUAGCUGGUCUGAGAGGAGGACCAGCCACACUGGAACGGAGACACGGUCCCGACUCCUACGGGAGGCAGCAGUGGGGAAUAUUGCACAAUGGGCGCAAGCCUGAUGCAGCCAUGCCGCGUGUAUGAAGAAGGCCUUCGGGUUGUAAAGUACUUUCAGCGGGGAGGCGUUACCCGCAGAAGAAGCACCGGCUAACUCCGUGCCAGCAGCCGCGGUAAUUC